UACGUAGGUGGCAAGCGUUGUCCGGAUUUAUUGGGUUUAAAGGGUGCGUAGGCGGUUCUAUAAGUCAGUGGUGAAAUACGGCAGCUCAACUGUCGAGGUGCCAUUGAUACUGUGGAACUUGAGUACAGACGAGGUAGGCGGAAUUGACGGUGUAGCGGUGAAAUGCUUAGAUAUCGUCAAGAACACCGAUAGCGAAGGCAGCUUACUAGACUGUAACUGACGCUGAGGCGCGAAAGCGUGGGGAGCAAACAGG
rnacentral:rRNA from 1 species